CAGGAAGUAGUUUAAUUAGAAUAUCAGCUUUGGGAGUUGAUGGUGAGGUGUAUUUGCCUUCUUCUUGA
rnacentral:tRNA from 2 species